AGCAGCCGCGGUAAUUCCAGCUCCAAUAGCGUAUAUUAAAGUUGUUGCAGUUAAAAAGCUCGUAGUUGAAUUUCGGGGUCAGCAGGUUGGUCGUGCCAAUGGUAUGCACUGGCCUCGCUGAUUCCUCCUUUCUUGAAGAACCGUGAUGCCAUUAAUUUAGUGUUGCGGGAAAACAGGACUGUUACUUUGAAAAAAUUAGAGUGUUUAAAGCAGGCUAACGCUUGAAUACAUUAGCAUGGAAUAAUGAAGUAGGACGUUAAUCCUAUUUUGUUGGUUUCUAGGAUCGACGUAAUGAUUAAUAGGGAUAGUUGGGGGCAUUAGUAUUCAAUUGUCAGAGGUGAAAUUCUUGGAUUUAUUGAAGACUAACUACUGCGAAAGCAUUUGCCAAGGAUGUUUUCAUUAAUCAAGAACGAAAGUUAGGGGAUCGAAGACGAUCAGAUACCGUCGUAGUCUUAACCAUAAACUAUGCCGACUAGGGAUCGGAUGAUGUUAUUUUUAAUGACUCA
rnacentral:rRNA from 1 species